GAUGUUAUAGAACUGUAGAAGAGAGAGGAACUUCUAUAUUCAACAGAGUUCAACAUACAAACCAUCAACAUUACCUUCAUUUCAACAUGCUGUCACUGCAUCAUUGUGUGUCUUCUCUCAUGUUUCUACUUCUUCUAAAAGGUGUCUGCGGAGAAGAACUCACUGCUGACAAGAAAGAAGAGUACAGUUUAGAAGGCAGCUCUGUUACUCUCUCCUACAGAUACUCCAAACUGUCAUCUAAUGAUUAUUUCUUCUGGUAUCGACAAUAUCCAGCAAAACCACCAGAGUUCAUCAUCUCUCACUCUGCUUCAGGAGCAGUUGGAAAUUACCAAAUCCCUGGACUGAAGAUUGAAGUGGCGCAAAAGCAAAUCCUGAUGCAGAUCUCCUCUGCUGCAGUGACAGACUCUGCUGUGUACUACUGUGCUGUGAGGCCCACAGUGACAGGAAACACCAGAACUCUGUACAAAAACCUUUGGAGCAAAGACAACACAACACAACAUGGCAGAUCUGAACUUCUUCCCUCCACUAGAGGGCCACCUUAUCAAAGUGUAAAGGAGAAGACAAAGUGAACCAGCCAACAGGAGAUGUCAUCGCUACUGAAGGACACACAGUUACACUUGGCUGCACAUUUGAGACCAGUGACACAUAUCCCUAUCUGUUCUGGUACAAGCAAGAAGUAAAUGAUUUCCCAAAGUACAUUCUGAAGCGUUACUCAAAAA